GUGAGAGUAGCUCAGUUGGAUAGAGCACUGGAUUGUGGUUCCAGGGGUCGCCGGUUCGACUCCGGUCUCUCACC
rnacentral:tRNA from 1 species